rnacentral:lncRNA from 14 species
CCUGCCACCGGCAGGAACGGACACGGCCCAGCCCCUCCGCUGCCGGCCGGCUGCGGGCGGGAUGAAGUUUUGGGGCGACGAGCGGAGCUCUCCACACACACCCCCCGCACCGCCGCUUACCUCUGGGGAGGCGCGAGGUAUCGGCAGCCCUCAGCGCCCGGCGGGGCUGCGCGGCACCCGUAACACACAGAGCUUCUCCGGUGAGGCGGCGGCUGGCUCAGGGAGUGACAGGGCGGCGGCUCCCCUCGCCCUUCCCCGGGAGCUGAACUACCUGCUGGCUAGCACUCGUCAGAUGGUGUUGGAAGAGGUGGAGACUCCGGCCUGCAUGGGAACUCCACAUUUCAAGGAGACACCCAUGUCAGAAACUCUGGACUAUCAAAGAGAAGAGUAACAUUCCUCGGAAGUCUGAAACAUUGGAUUUUUAGCUGUUCGGCAUAUUUUGAUUCAAGGAACGAAGAAUCUCUUUCAAGUGUCAGAUUUCUGUCUGUUCAUUCAGGUAUUACUGGAUCUGUAAUUUGGUUUGUGCAUAAUGUAGCAUGUAUUUGAUGUCAGCUAGAACAGGUCUUCAGGCAUAUACGUACUUUAGAAAUGUCAAACUCCCUAAGACCCAGCUGUGCAUCACAGAGGGAAGGAAUAAAAGGAUUAUAUAUACCCA